AACGUCGAACGCUUCUUUCCUCCCGAGUGCUUGCACUCAAUUGGAAAGAGGAGUGGCGGACGGGUGAGUAACACGUGGGUAACCUACCCAUCAGAGGGGGAUAACACUUGGAAACAGGUGCUAAUACCGCAUAACAGUUUAUGCCGCAUGGCAUAACGACGUGAAAGGCGCUCUCCGGGUGUCGCUGACUGGAUGGACCCGCGGUGCAUUAGCCGUACUCGCGUCCGAGGUAACGGCUCACCCAAGGCCACGAUGCAUAGCCGACCUGAGAGGGUGAUCGGCCACACUGGGCACUGAGACACGGCCCAGACUCCUACGGGAGCAGCAGUAGGGAAUCUUCGGCAAUGGACGAAAGUCUGACCGAGCAACGCCGCGUGAGUGAAGAAGGUUUUCGGAUCGUAAAACUCUGUUGUUACAGAAGAACAAGGACGUUAGUAACUGAACGUCCCCUGACGGUAUCUAACCAGAAAGCCACGGCUAACUACGUGCCAGCAGCCGCGGUAAUACGUAGGUGGCAAGCGUUGUCCGGAUUUAUUGGGCGUAAAGCGAGCGCAGGCGGUUUCUUAAGUCUGAUGUGAGAAGCCCCCGGCUCAACCGGGGAGGGUCAUUGGAAACUGGGAGACUUGAGUGCAGAAGAGGAGAGUGGAAUUCCAUGUGUAGCGGUGAAAUGCGUAGAUAUAUGGAGGAACACCAGUGGCGAAGGCGGCUCUCUGGUCUGUAACUGACGCUGAGGCUCGAAAGCGUGGGGAGCAAACAGGAUUAGAUACCCUGGUAGUCCACGCCNGUAAACGAUGAGUGCGUAAGUGUUGGAGGGUUUCCGCCCUUCAGUGCUGCAGCAAACGCAGUUAAGCACUCCGCCUAGGGAGUACGA
rnacentral:rRNA from 1 species